AGAGAGAGAGAGGCACAAAUGCCCCAAUAGCUGCUCCUGGCAAGAAAGUCUGCCUCUGGCGAAUGGCCAGAGGCAGACUUUCUCGGGCAGGCGCGCGCUCGGGUCCUCGGACUCAAAGAGGGCGCCCCGAUCCUGCCUCGCGCGUGCCCGCCCAGGCCCAUCUGGCCUGACUCUGGCGCAGCAUCUCUGCUCGGCCGGAUCCUGGAGCGGCCGCCGAGUUCACCUCUCUCUCCCUCCCUCCAUUCCAGUAGACGCGCACGCACCUGCUCCCUUUCCUGCCUUCCUUUCUAGCCUCCCUCCAGACGCGGAAGUAAAAAAAAAAACAAAACAAAAAACAAAAAAAAAAACCACCCAGCAGCUGAGGAAGAGCCCUGCGUACUCCGCUGAAGGCGGCGAGAAAGAGGCGGGGCUUCCCGAGACCCGCUGGCUACUGCUAGGUGCAGUAGUGCAUACACCUCUCGGUGGCUGCGCGCGCGCGUCUGUGCGUUCGUUUGUAUGUGUCUGUGUCUGUCUCUGUAUGUAAACGCGGCUGUCGCUGGGGUAGGAUUGUUGCCCUCGGUAACCAGGGAACCUGUCCGAGGCUUUCCGGCCGCACCGGAGCUCUGGGAGAUUCAGGCGGGACGUGGUGGGUCAGGCUUGUUGUUUUUAGAGGACAGUUUGGAGAGGCAGCGAGGGACUGCAACCGCCGCCAGCCGCCCGGGAACGUGAAGAAGGCCUGAAUUGCAAGCAAUUGAAUGAGAACAGUCCUAAAACAGUGGCAAGCCAGACAGUUAUAUGCCUACCAUUUAAAGCUGCCAUGACUUGCUAUGGCGUGCCAUUCUGCAACUAAUGAUGCUUUAUAAAGAGAACUGUUGAAACGUUGCACUUCAGAUAGACAAUCAUGCAGAAAAAAACAACACCGUUGCCACGUGGCGCAAUGGCAUCCUCAAGAUUAGGAGGAAGAACAUCCCGGGAUAUUGCUGGAGUGAUGCAGAGACUCCAAGAUGAACAAGAAUCUGUGCAAAAGCGGACUUUCACAAAGUGGAUCAACACACAUCUAGCCAAGGUAACACAUUAUUCUGCUUUUUAUAUAGUAAAAAUGCUUAAGUAGUAAAUCAGAAACAAGAUCUACCACUUGUAAAAAGAGAGCAUUAUCUCUGAAGGAAAACUGGAUAAAAUGGAUAAUAUUGCUCUGCCUUUUGAAGUGAUUUAGAACCAAAACUGUAUAGCAAAAGAAAGAGCUAUUAUCACUACAAC